rnacentral:misc_RNA from 1 species
GAUGAAGAACGCAGCGAAAUGCGAUAAGUAAUGCGAAUUGCAGAAUUCCAGUGAGUCAUCGAAUCUUUGAACGCACAUUGCGCCCUUUGGUAUUCCGAAGGGCAUGCCUGUUCGAGCGUCAUUAUCACCCCUCAAGCCCUCGGCUUGGUGUUGGACGGUUUGGUGGAGGCCCCCUCGGGGGCUCCUGCCCCUCCCAAAGACAAUGACGGCGGCCUCGUUGGACCCCCGGUACACUGAGUUCUUCACGGGACACGUAUCGGACACAUGGGUUUACGGGACACGGUCUGCCUCCCCUCAGGGAGAAUCUUUCUAAGGUUGACCUCGGAUCAGGUAGGAAUACCCGCUGAACUUAAGCAUAUCAAUAAGCGGAGGA